GGGGGGCUAGCUCAGUUGGGAGAGCGCAACGUUCGCAACGUUGAGGUCGGGGGUUCGAUUCCCCUGCCCUCCACCA
rnacentral:tRNA from 2 species